UACGGAGGAUUCGAGCGUUAUCCGGAAUCAUUGGGUUUAAAGGGUCCGUAGGCGGAUAGAUAAGUCAGAGGUGAAAGUUUGUGGCUCAACCAUAAAAUUGCCUUUGAUACUGUUUGUCUUGAAUAGGUGUGAAGUGGUUAGAAUGAGUAGUGUAGCGGUGAAAUGCAUAGAUAUUACUCGGAAUACCAAUUGCGAAGGCAGAUCACUAACACUUUAUUGACGCUGAGGGACGAAAGCGUGGGGAGCGAACAGG
rnacentral:rRNA from 1 species